rnacentral:rRNA from 1 species
GACGUAGGGCGCGAGCGUUGUCCGGAUUUAUUGGGCGUAAAGAGCUCGUAGGCGGUUUGUCGCGUCGGCCGUGAAAUCUCCACGCUUAACGUGGAGCGUGCGGUCGAUACGGGCAGACUUGAGGUUCGGGUAGGGGAGACUGGAAUUCCUGGUGUAGCGGUGAAAUGCGCAGAUAUCAGGAGGAACACCGGUGGCGAAGGCGGGUCUCUGGGCCGAUAUUGACGCUGAGGAGCGAAAGCGUGGGGAGCGAACAGG